rnacentral:rRNA from 1 species
GGCACCUACGGGAGGCAGCAGUGGGGGAUAUUGGACAAUGGGGGAAACCCUGAUCCAGCGAUGCCGCGUGCAGGAAGAAGGUUUUCGGAUUGUAAACUGCUUUAGACAGGGAAGAAAAAAGACAGUACCUGUAGAAUAAGCUCCGGCUAACUACGUGCCAGCAGCCGCGGUAAUACGUAGGGAGCAAGCGUUAUCCGGAUUUAUUGGGUGUAAAGGGUGCGUAGACGGGAAUGCAAGUUGGUUGUGAAAUCCCUCGGCUUAACUGAGGAACUGAAACCAAAACUACAUUUCUUGAGUGCUGGAGA